UGUGUGGUCAAAAGGGGUACUACACCCCCACCCGUUAAUGACGACAGGUGGACGUUGAUAGUUUGGCAGCUCCGUAAAAGUGCGAAUUCCGAAGAAAAGCCUUUUUACUUUUUUUAAUGGCGACAAUAUGAAGGAAUAAGGAUUUUAACGAAACAACUGAUGGAGUAAACUUUGGCUAAUAUUAGCAUUGGUAGCUAACGGGCGUUUAAAAGACUGUCAAGCUAGCGUCAAUGAGGAAAGAAGACAAACAACAGACAAAUGAUUGCAAAGGCAGACAGCCAGACUUUACAUAUGACGGAGGCUUCCUCUUAAUGAGAUAAAAGGACGGUGGACACGGACGACUAGCUAAAACAGGCUUGUGAUGAGCGAGCCUGAUUUGACUGGAACUACCCAGAGAGCGUAACAGCUGUGGUUAGAAAGGGACAGUGCUGGAAACAGCGCUGACGCUCCUGAUGAUGGCGACACCCGGGACAGUGACCGGUGCAAAUACUGUACUGAACCCAGUUUUGAAUAUUCAUGCAGGAGUGAAGAAGCUGCAGUUUUACUGUGCAUCGCUGGUGCAGUGAAUCAUUUUGUGUCAAUAUUUCACGGGGAAUAAGUUGCACAUGCAAUAAAGAUGCUUCAACAUGUUUGACUUUAGAUACAACAGGUUUUCACCUCAUUUAUUACUACACACAUUUCAAAAUGUUCAACGUGUAAAUGGAAAUGAGAUAAACAGUAAAACAUAAUUAAACCCUUGUUGAGUCGCCCUCAUUGUGUUUCUUUUGUACAGUUUGUACAUACUAAAUAAUCUGCGCUACCCCCACUAUAAUUACAUCAGUCUCCUCUGGGGGCUUUAUGUCCUACAGUAAGUCUACUCUUGUCAUGUACAUGCACACUCCCAGCUCUGACAAGCCACAGGACAGACGCUAUCGUCCCUGCGCUGUCUUCAGCCUGUUC